GGUCCUACAAGAUAUUCAAGGUUCAUCUUUUAUAUUCCAUAUCCCUGCCCUAGAAUCAGCCAUUUCUCCAAGUAGCCCUAGUUCUUUUUAUUGGAGAGUCGUAUUAGAAACCAAGUGUUGGGUGUGCUUGUUGUUACUGAAGCAUUGUUGGUUCUGCGAACAGAACUAUGGAAUAUAUGGCCUGACUAGAACAAAAGGAUGGAGGAAGAGCAAAUUCUCUCUUUGUCUUCAUGAGAUACUUCUCUGGUGAUUGCUAAUACAAUAAUCAACUCAAACUCUGAAAAAUCAUCUUGAUUAUUGUUUUCAAUGGCCUACCACUUCUAAAGAAAAUGUACUCCUCAAAGAAGUUUCAGUUGGAUAUCAAGAGAGGAGCAAUAGAUGAACCAAAUCUGGAAAAUAGAUAGUUUUCAACUACACAAAUGGAUGUUCCACAGGGUUGGGGAGACCUCGGGAAUCUUACAAUCAUGGCAGAAGGGGAAGGAAACAUGUCCUUCUUCACAUGGCAGCAGCAAAGAGAAGUGCCAAGCAAGAGGGGAAAAGCACCUUAUGAAACCAUCGGAUCUCUUGAGAACCUACUUACUUACUGUCAAGAGAACAGCAUCACG
rnacentral:lncRNA from 10 species